AAAUAAGCAAUUUGUUUGAAACAAACCCUUUACUCUUUCAAGUUAACCCAUUUAAAAAAAAAAUCUACUUCUUUUCUGCAGCUUUGGAAUUGGGAAUAGCUUUACACGUUAACUCCUUUUCACCAAAAUACUUGAGUGUAGAGUUCUCCGUGUCAGCUGGAGCUUGAGAGCUCAUUGUUAAUAAAGGGAAAGAAGUAUUGUGCUACUAAGCAGGCAACUCUCAACACAUAUUCAGCUCUGCAUCUUCGAGAAGGAGACACUGAGGCUGCUGCGAGUGCAGAAGGACAGAGUUUUCACUGAGAUUCAGAUGUGACUGAGACCCUCUUCCAGGAUUUAUACGUUGAUGAAGCUCUGGGCUUAUUAACUAACUUUUUCUGAAA